rnacentral:rRNA from 2 species
UUAAGUGACUAAGCGUACACGGUGGAUGCCUAGGCAGUCAGAGGCGAUGAAGGGCGUGCUAAUCUGCGAAAAGCGUCGGUAAGGUGAUAUGAACCGUUACAACCGGCGAUACCCGAAUGGGGAAACCCAGUGUGUUUCGACACACUAUCAUGUCAUGAAUACAUAGUGGCAUGAGGCGAACCGGGGGAACUGAAACAUCUAAGUACCCCGAGGAAAAGAAAUCAACCGAGAUUCCCCCAGUAGCGGCGAGCGAACGGGGAGGAGCCCAGAACCUGAAUCGGCUUGUGUGUUAGUGGAAGCGUCUGGAAAGUCGCGCAGCAAAGGGUGAUAGCCCCGUACACUAAAAUGCACAGGUCGUGAGUUCGAUGAGUAGGGCGGGACACGUGACAUCCUGUCUGAAUAUGGGGGGACCAUCCUCCAAGGCUAAAUACUCCUGACUGACCGAUAGUGAACCAGUACCGUGAGGGAAAGGCGAAAAGAACCCCGGCGAGGGGAGUGAAAUAGAACCUGAAACCGUGUACGUACAAGCAGUGGGAGCACCUUCGUGGUGUGACUGCGUACCUUUUGUAUAAUGGGUCAGCGACUUAUAUUUUGUAGCAAGGUUAACCGUAUAGGGGAGCCGUAGGGAAACCGAGUCUUAACUGGGCGAAUAGUUGCAAGGUAUAGACCCGAAACCCGGUGAUCUAGCCAUGGGCAGGUUGAAGGUUGGGUAACACUAACUGGAGGACCGAACCGACUAAUGUUGAAAAAUUAGCGGAUGACUUGUGGCUGGGGGUGAAAGGCCAAUCAAACCGGGAGAUAGCUGGUUCUCCCCGAAAGCUAUUUAGGUAGCGCCUCGUGAACUCAUCUUCGGGGGUAGAGCACUGUUUCGGCUAGGGGGCCAUCCCGGCUUACCAAACCGAUGCAAACUCCGAAUACCGAAGAAUGUUAUCACGGGAGACACACGGCGGGUGCUAACGUCCGUCGUGAAGAGGGAAACAACCCAGACCGCCAGCUAAGGUCCCAAAGUCAUGGUUAAGUGGGAAACGAUGUGGGAAGGCAUAGACAGCCAGGAUGUUGGCUUAGAAGCAGCCAUCAUUUAAAGAAAGCGUAAUAGCUCACUGGUCGAGUCGGCCUGCGCGGAAGAUGUAACGGGGCUAAACCAUGCACCGAAGCUGCGGCAGCGACGCUUAGGCGUUGUUGGGUAGGGGAGCGUUCUGUAAGCCGUUGAAGGUGGCCUGUGAGGGUUGCUGGAGGUAUCAGAAGUGCGAAUGCUGACAUAAGUAACGAUAAAGCGGGUGAAAAGCCCGCUCGCCGGAAGACCAAGGGUUCCUGUCCAACGUUAAUCGGGGCAGGGUGAGUCGACCCCUAAGGCGAGGCUGAAAAGCGUAGUCGAUGGGAAACAGGUUAAUAUUCCUGUACUUGGUGUUACUGCGAAGGGGGGACGGAGAAGGCUAGGCUAGCCGGGCGACGGUUGUCCCGGUUUAAGCGUGUAGGGGGUGUGACCUGGUAAAUCCGGUUNCAUAUCAACCCUGAGGCGUGAUGACGAUGCACUACGGUGCAGAAGUAGUUGAUGCCCUGCUUCCAGGAAAAGCCUCUAAGCUCCAGGUAACAUUAAAUCGUACCCCAAACCGACACAGGUGGUCAGGUAGAGAAUACCAAGGCGCUUGAGAGAACUCGGGUGAAGGAACUAGGCAAAAUGGUGCCGUAACUUCGGGAGAAGGCACGCUGGUAUGUAGGUGAAGUCCCUUGCGGAUGGAGCUGAAGCCAGUCGAAGAUACCAGCUGGCUGCAACUGUUUAAUAAAAACACAGCACUGUGCAAACACGAAAGUGGACGUAUACGGUGUGACGCCUGCCCGGUGCUGGAAGGUUAAUUGAUGGGGUCAGCCGCAAGGCGAAGCUCUUGAUCGAAGCCCCAGUAAACGGCGGCCGUAACUAUAACGGUCCUAAGGUAGCGAAAUUCCUUGUCGGGUAAGUUCCGACCUGCACGAAUGGCGUAAUGAUGGCCAGGCUGUCUCCACCCGAGACUCAGUGAAAUUGAACUCGCUGUGAAGAUGCAGUGUACCCGCGGCAAGACGGAAAGACCCCGUGAACCUUUACUAUAGCUUGACACUGAACAUUGAGCCUUGAUGUGUAGGAUAGGUGGGAGGCUUUGAAGCGUGGACGCCAGUCUGCGUGGAGCCAUCCUUGAAAUACCACCCUUUAAUGUUUGAUGUUCUAACUCGGCCCCAUAAUCUGGGGUGAGGACAGUGUCUGGUGGGUAGUUUGACUGGGGCGGUCUCCUCCCAAAGAGUAACGGAGGAGCACGAAGGUUAGCUAAUCACGGUCGGACAUCGUGAGGUUAGUGCAAAGGCAUAAGCUAGCUUGACUGCGAGAGUGACGGCUCGAGCAGGUACGAAAGUAGGUCUUAGUGAUCCGGUGGUUCUGAAUGGAAGGGCCAUCGCUCAACGGAUAAAAGGUACUCCGGGGAUAACAGGCUGAUACCGCCCAAGAGUUCAUAUCGACGGCGGUGUUUGGCACCUCGAUGUCGGCUCAUCACAUCCUGGGGCUGAAGUAGGUCCCAAGGGUAUGGCUGUUCGCCAUUUAAAGUGGUACGCGAGCUGGGUUUAGAACGUCGUGAGACAGUUCGGUCCCUAUCUGCCGUGGGCGUUGGAAGAUUGAGAGGGGUUGCUCCUAGUACGAGAGGACCGGAGUGAACGCACCACUGGUGUUCGGGUUGUCAUGCCAAUGGCAUUGCCCGGUAGCUAAGUGCGGAAAAGAUAAGCGCUGAAAGCAUCUAAGCGCGAAACUUGCCUCAAGAUGAGUCUUCCCUGGGCCUUUAAGGCCCCUGAAGGAACGUUUAAGACUAAGACGUUGAUAGGCUGGGUGUGUAAGUGCAGCGAUGCAUUGAGCUAACCAGUACUAAUGAUCCGUGAGGCUUAACCUU